GGAACAAGCACAAUAAACGAGUGUUUCACAAAGAUUUGAAAGCUCUUAAGAAGGCAAAUAUAUCAAUGAGAAAUAACAAAACCCGGAAGAACCCUUUUUGCCGUUGGAAGCGUGGGUAAUGGUGGUUCUUCCGAUGUGGAUCGUGUUGGAUUUAAUGUGAGCUUUGAAUGCUGAGUGGGGUGAGUAGUUGAGCACGAAAUCAGAUGGGAAAGCUUGAAUGCACUUGAUUUCUCCUCUUGAAAGCACUAACUCCCUUGAACCUCUUUCACUUUCUUCUCUGUUGAAUGAUCUUGUGUUAGGUUGGUGAGAAGUUGUUGGAAGGCACCUAAAAGCUCUCUUUUAUAGCCCAAAAAGCAAUAGAUCCGUUAGACACAAAAAUAUAAACGUUUGAAAUUCAAACAAACCUGCAAAAGUGUGUCAGUCGUGUCCCAGGCGCUCCGGAGACGUCUCCGCUUGAACGCGAGAUGUCUCGGCUGUAUAAAAUUUCUUUUGACGUUGUUUGGAGUCGACUCGGCGCUUUACGGGGACAUCUCUGAAGAAGAGCAGCUUGAAUGCUUGUUUUUCUGUUUUUCUGAGAGAGUCGGCUCGGUACUUUACGGGGACGUCUCGGGAUGUUUGCGCUUUUUG
rnacentral:lncRNA from 1 species